rnacentral:rRNA from 1 species
CACAGAGGAGCCCUGCUCCUUGGGUGACGAGUGGCGGACGGGUGAGUAAUGUCUGGGGAUCUGCCCGAUAGAGGGGGAUAACCACUGGAAACGGUGGCUAAUACCGCAUAACGUCGCAAGACCAAAGAGGGGGACCUUCGGGCCUCUCACUAUCGGAUGAACCCAGAUGGGAUUAGCUAGUAGGCGGGGUAAUGGCCCACCUAGGCGACGAUCCCUAGCUGGUCUGAGAGGAUGACCAGCCACACUGGAACUGAGACACGGUCCAGACUCCUACGGGAGGCAGCAGUGGGGAAUAUUGCACAAUGGGCGCAAGCCUGAUGCAGCCAUGCCGCGUGUAUGAAGAAGGCCUUCGGGUUGUAAAGUACUUUCAGCGGGGAGGAAGGCGAUGGGGUUAAUAACCUUAUCGAUUGACGUUACCCGCAGAAGAAGCACCGGCUAACUCCGUGCCAGCAGCCGCGGUAAUACGGAGGGUGCAAGCGUUAAUCGGAAUUACUGGGCGUAAAGCGCACGC